AACGAACGCUGGCGGCAGGCCUAACACAUGCAAGUCGAACGCAUCGCAAGAUGAGUGGCGCACGGGUGAGUAACACGUGGGAAUGUAUCCUUUGGUUCGGAAUAACGUUUGGAAACGAACGCUAAUACCGGAUGAGCCCUGCGGGGGAAAGAUUUAUCGCCAAAGGAGCAGCCCGCGUCUGAUUAGGUAGUUGGUGGGGUAAUGGCCUACCAAGCCGACGAUCAGUAGCUGGUCUGAGAGGAUGAUCAGCCACACUGGGACUGAGACACGGCCCAGACUCCUACGGGAGGCAGCAGUGGGGAAUAUUGGACAAUGGGCGCAAGCCUGAUCCAGCCAUGCCGCGUGAGUGAUGAAGGCCUUCGGGUUGUAAAGCUCUUUCGCACACGACGAUGAUGACGGUAGUGUGAGAAGAAGCCCCGGCUAACUUCGUGCCAGCCGCCGCAGUAACAC
rnacentral:rRNA from 1 species